rnacentral:rRNA from 1 species
GACAGAGGUGCCGAGCGUUAGGCGGAAUCACUGGGCUUAAAGCGUGUGUAGGCGGGCGGGCAAGUACCUUGUGAAAUCCCACGGCUCAACCGUGGAACGGCUGGGUAUACUGCCUGUCUUGAGCCAACUAGGGGCGAGCGGAACAGACGGUGGAGCGGUGAAAUGCGUAGAUAUCAGGAAGAACACCCGUGGCGAAGGCGGUUCUCUGGGACGGUACUGACGCUGAGACGCGAAAGCGUGGGGAGCGAACAGG